rnacentral:lncRNA from 1 species
CGGAACAUCACCUUCUUUUCCACCAACUGUGUGGAAGGCACGGCUCGGGGCGUGGUGGUGGCCACGGGCGACCGCACUGUCAUGGGCCGUAUCGCCACCCUGGCAUCAGGGCUGGAGGUGGGCAAGACGCCCAUCGCCAUCGAGAUUGAGCACUUCAUCCAGCUCAUCACCGGCGUGGCUGUCUUCCUGGGUGUCUCCUUCUUCAUCCUCUCCCUCAUUCUCGGAUACACCUGGCUUGAGGCUGUCAUCUUCCUCAUCGGCAUCAUCGUGGCCAAUGUCCCAGAGGGUCUGCUGGCCACUGUCACUGUAAGGCCAGGCUCCUGGGUCUGGGUGGGGAGGGCCUGGGGGUCUGGGCUCCUGGGUCUGAGGGAGGAGGGGCUGGGAUCCUGGACCCCUGAGUCUGAGGGAGGAGGGGCUAGAGGCCUGGACCCGUGUGUCUGGGGGAGGAGGGGCUGGGAUCUGGACCCCUGGGUCCGGAGAAGGGGCUGGGGGCCUGGAUCACAGUAUUCUUGUGAAAGACAACUUGGGCCUGACUCAGAGGGCCUCAUUAACAAAGCAAACAAUCAAAGAAAGAAACAAACAAAAAUCUUGAGAAACACUGGCAAGCCGUAAAGAGCCAACAAUCCUAUUGCAAAAUUAAGAAGUGCACGCUCAUGAUGAAAAGUUGAAGAGUACAUCAAGUUAAAAAAUAAAAUAAUGAGGCUGGGUGCACUGGCUCACGCUGUAAUCCCAGCACUUUGGGGGGCCAAGGCGGGCAGAUCAGCUGAGGUCAGGAGUUCAAGACUAGCCUGGCCAACAUGGUGAAACCCUGUCUCUACUGAAAAUACAAAAUUAGUGGGGCGUGGUGGCACAUGCCUGUAAUCCCAGCUACUCAGGAGGCUGAGGCAGGAGAAUCGCUUGAACCUGGGAGGCGGAGGUUGCAGUGAGCCAAGAUCACGCCAUUGCACUCCAGCCUGGGUGACA